rnacentral:rRNA from 1 species
CCUACGGGGCGCAGCAGUGGGGAAUAUUGGGCAAUGGGCGCAAGCCUGACCCAGCAACGCCGCGUGAAGGAAGAAGGCUUUCUGGUUUUAAACUUCCUUUUAUAGGGAAGAGCAGAAGACUGUACCUCUUGAAUAAGCCACGUCUAACUACGUGCCAGCAGCCGCGGUAAUACGUAGGUGGCAAUCGUUAUCCGGAUUUACUGGGUGUAAAGGGCGUGCAGCCGGGAAGACAAGUCAGAUGUGAAAGCCCGGGGCUCAACCGCGGAACUGCAUUUGAUACUGUUUUUCUAGAGUACCGGAGAGGUCAGCGGAAUGUCUGGUGUAGCGGUGAAAUGCGUAGAUAUCAGGAAGAACACCGGUGGCGAAGGCGGAUGACUAGACGGCAACUGACGGUGAGGCGCGAAAGCGUGGGGAGCAAACAGGAUUAGAUACCCUUGUAGUC